UUGAUUCAAAACUUUUGUUGG
rnacentral:piRNA from 1 species